CUGACCUAAAAAAAAAAAUACAUAUAUAUUACCCCAGAUUUCUAGAAUUGCACUACAUUUCAGAAGCAAUUACUCUAAGAUACAAAGCCAAAAAUAAUGACUUAUUUUCCCCUUUUUUUCAGAAAAUGUGAGCUUUGGUUAUAUAUUUGUAUAUGACAUACUUAAAACAUUCAAACAUUUAAAAUAAUUCUUCCCACCUAAAAGAUAAAACAAUGCAAUUUUAUUUUACAAGUUAUUUCUCCCAGUAUAUUCCUGGAGAAAUAAUGAAAUACACCUUUUCUAUCAUAAAACAAUGAUAAAGAGAAAAUGAAGUUAAGAAGAAAAUUCUUUAUUAAUAUAAGUAAACAACUGUCACUACUCAAAUUAAAAUCCCAUAUGUUAUAUAAUACUUAUCUGGAAGAUUCUAUUUCUAUAAAAGAGUUCCACAGCUAAAAAUUUUUAAAACACUGACUUUACCUUCUUAUUUUACAGGAAAGGAUACAAACCUAAAGAAACUAAGUUAUUUGUUAGUUUGGAUGCCAAAACUUAGAUCAUCCACCUUCUAGUGUCAGGUCCUCUUUCUCUCUUGCCAUAUACUGCUUGUGUGGCCUUGGACAAAUCCGUCCCUCUAAGCCUCGUCUUUCUAAUAUUUGGAAUUUUGGACUAAGAAAGAACAUUCUCUUUCGUAAAGAAGUAACGUUUUCCUGUUACUGAAGCAAGUGGCAGCAUGGCUUAACCCCAUAAGAUAUGAUGUCCAAAACAGUUCAGAUAAAAAUAAAAUAAAAAGAGCGAAGUGUUAGAGCAAAAUGUGACAAUUAAAAAUCCAAGAAAAUUAAGCUUCACCUGACGAAGGCGUUUAUUGGAUGUCCCUGGACUACUUUUCCGUAAAUUGCAAAAUGCCUGCAGACCUUUCAUCCAAUCCUGCAAAGAAAAACAGCAUUUCAAAGAAAUAUACACUAGUUUAUUUGGUUUCCAAAUCAUCAGUUAGGUUUUUUUUUUCCAAAUUCAACAAUUCUUUCCUUCUCUAGACUGCCAUUUCUAUUCUCAGACUAUACUGUACUUUAUAACAAUAACCAAUAAUAAAAUAACAAAAAUAACAAAUAACAACAAAAAUAACAUAUAAUAAAAUAACAAUAACAAUAAUAAAACAACCAAAACAAUUGCAAUUCUGUAUAAAUCUUUUUUUGAAUUUAUGUAUUAAACACAUCGAGUGGCCAUUAAUUAGCCAAAAAAUCAAAUUUACAUUAAAGAAACUAUUUCUCUCAAACAGAUACUACCUUGGGGAAAUUAACGGUUAAUGUAUAAUUAAGCUGUUAAACUUCAGGCAAGCUUAGGUGGAAUUGAACUUGGUACACUUUGUGAGAGGGGGAGAGGGCUGAUUGUAAAACCAACUGAUAAUGUGAUGACUGAUCCCAUGACAAGCAUACUAUCUAUACUUUAGACCAUGAUACAGGUAGAAAUGUAUAAGGGGAUUUGGGUUAUUUUUAAGCUUCUCAAAUAUAACAUUAGAUUUUAAAAAUCAUUUUAGCCUAAUAUUCAAAUCAAAUUGCAGCCAUAUUUUUAAAAUGUUUAUCUAGUGCUUUGGGGAAAAAGAACUGAGGUUUAUUAAAAACAAAUCUAAAUAUUCACUUUGGUUUUUACAUGUUUCUGGAAAGCUGUGUACUAUUGCUUUAUUCAGUUAUGUCUUUAGUUUGUUGGCUAUUUCAAUGAAGCUGAACUUUAUUAAUAUUUAGAGACUGUCUUUAUAUUACAGCAAAUUAAAACCAAAUCAGUUACCAUAGCUUUUUGAAAUAGAAGAGAAUAACCAGAGACCCCACAGCCCAACAAGUCAACAAAAACUGGAAAUAUCAUUUAUGGAAAUACAGAAAUAUUAUGUAUAAAUAUAUUAAAAAAUGUUCUAUGUCAGGCUUGCAAAACAUGCUGAAAUGUCAUUAUGGUAUGGGACACAUUUUUAUUCAGAAAGAGGGACCAUGGUAAAAUAAUUAGAAAAUAGGAUACUGAAGUUUAAAUUUCUAACUCAAUUUCUAACAUUUAAAAAAAUCAUGUAAGUUACCAAAAUGUUUUGAGCACUAUCUUUCUCGUCUAAAAAUUAGGGAUACAUAGCUGUAAAAUUUUAUGUGCAUUACAUGUGAAAUGAGCAUUUAAAUGAGAUAUUUUAUAAAGAUGUGAAAUAUGACGUUCAGUUAUAAGCUCAUUCAGGUUUAUUCUGUGAGUCUCAUGCUAGGAUCUAGUUUUAAGAGCAUCUUCCUCAUAUCUAGGGUUGGCAAAUUAUAUUUCCAACAAAGCCACUUUCACUUCUUAACCACCCUUUAAGUUCCUUCGUUAGAGUAUAAGCAGAAAUUCAGCCGUAUUUGUAUAAAAUACAACCAUAUACUCCAGAAAUAUUAGGGUUCAAAGAACGCAAAAAAAUUUUUUAAGAGACAGUGUCUCAGUUUGUUGCCUAGGCUGGGGUACAGUGUCUCGAUCUUACUCACUAUAACUCAAACUCCUUUGCUAAUGCAAUCUUCCUGCCUCGUUCUACCCAGUGGCUGGGAUACAGGCAUAAGCCAGAACACCCAGCUAAUUUUUUACUUUUGUUAUAGAGCUGGGGUCUCCCUUUGUUGCAAAAUAUUUUUUAAAGAGUGUUUUUUUAAAAAUACUAUUUCUUCACACAAUUACUUAAUAGAAGCUAUAAGAAGGACCGUGCACAUGGAUCAAUAGCUAAUCUAAAGUAGACAUUAUAUCUCGACUUGGCUUAGAGAAUAGAUUCCUAAAAUAUCUUUCCUUGUGUUGACUGACUUUUAUUUUCAGACAUGGAGUUCAAACAGUGAAGAAUAAUAAUUAAUGCUUGUUAGCAAAACUAACUGGCUUACCUUUGGCUUAUACUGAGAUUAUCUAUAACCUUUAUGCAGAGAGGAUUUUAAAUGAGCAUUCUCAGUUGGCCUCAACAUCAUAGAGUAUUUAAAGGUCAAUUUAAAAUGGAGUUUUCAUUCCUAAUAACCCUUCACUGUGUUUGUUUUUGCAUUUCUUUCUGAAAACUUUUUACAUAUGAAAUCUCAUUCCUUAAAAUAAGAGAUGAUUAGAUUUCAGGCCUUCUAUCACUUUAUCUUGAAUGCAAUCAUUUUCUAUUCCAGUUAAUAAGAAAACAUGGGCUAACAUAAAAGUAUACAGUAGUUUGAGAAACAGUAAUCUUACCUCUGCUUGCUCUGGAGUUUCUCCUGCAAAGUAAAAGAUGUAAUGUUCUUCACUAAAGUGCUGAACUACUAUCUGAAAACAGUUUGGCCUUUAAAAUAAAAACAAAAAUUAUUAGGAAGCUUAAUAAAAAAUAACAAAAUAUUUAUACCAGCUUCCAAAACACAAUAAAUAAUUAACAUAAAAUUAUAAUUCUUAAAGAAAUAAUACUCCAUUGUACCAGAUGAUUACUAAAAAAAAGGUCAGCUACAUAUAUUUUAGAAAACUUUAUGUCAGCACUAUUAAAAUUUUAUUAGUAUUUCAAAGUGUAAACUAAAAUUUCAAUUAAUUGUAAAAGACAUUAGAAAUAAAGUUACAAACAAAUUGAAGCUGAACUGCUAGAACUGCACACAGCUAAUCUGAAAAGUUUUAUAUGCACUGGAAAAAGACUAGAAAUGUUCUUAGACCAAAAAUGUUCUAAGUAAUUAUCUCUAAGGAGAUUGUAGGUGAGUCUGUAUUUUCAAAUUUUUCUAAACUGAUCAUUUUUCUUCACCUGUUAAAAUGGAAACAUCAUCU